UCUCCGUUGGCCGUUUCGGGCUCCACGCAGCGCCCCUUUCUCCGGGUGACCCUGCUGUUCCGGUGGAAUUUGGCGUAGCAGCGCAGCCCUGAGCGAAGAGAGGCAAGGGGGUCAGACGUGAGACCAGCCCGUCCUCCCCACCUCUCUCCCCCCCAGCCCGGCCUCGCACCGUUUCACUAUCACUGCCUUCUUUUUUUCUGCCCUACAACCAAUCCAUCCCCCGCACAGCAGCCUGAAUGGGUUUAAAAAAGAGAAUCACAGACGGAGAAGAGUGAACAGAUGGAGCACAGGAGAUAAUUCGGACCACGAAACUAUUUUGUGCGAUACUAUCUAUAAUGGUUUGCGCAAGUGACUUAAACUUUCUGUGCCUCAGUUUACUUUUGCGUGAAAUGGGGAGAACGAUAGCUCCCGUCUGAGAUGGUUGUGAGGAUUGAGGCGCUAACAGAUCAUGGGAGAUCAUACCAGCUUGUAUUUCAAGAGGUGAGAAAAGCAAAUCUGAGCAACGAUGCCAGGAAUGGAAACUAAAUGAAUUCACAGAUUGGGAAAGCACCGAGCGAAGCUGUUCCUGCUGGUGUCUUCAGUUCCCCAGGGAUCCUCUCACCCCCUUCGCUGCCCACCCCUGCCUCGAGGAGAAUGGGAGGUGGCAAGGUUCUCGGUGCCGAGGGAGCCCCCGGCAUCUGGCCUCACCUUCCACGCACAUGCAGUCGUCAAAGCAUUUGUUGUUCAGGCCUCGGUUGUGGGGCGUGCAGAGAUGCUCCCGGAGGUCGCAGCAGGUCCCUGCCCACAUGGCAAGCACACGCGGUCAGCUGUGCCGAGCAGACCCUCCCUGCCGCCCCAUACAUGCUCCCGCUGGACGGGAGAUCCAUCAUCUCUGUGGCGGGGCUGCCUCUGGCAGAGUGGACCAUCUGGUGCACAAGGCUCCCAGCCGGAACCACCGACGGAUGUCCCCAGAGGGCGGGCGGCUGAGACCCUAGACGCCCCAGAUGGGCAAUUGAUUGGUCAUGGGAGGAGGAAAGGCACUGUUGAUUCCCCACUGGGUAGAAAGGCUGGGGGGCCGCCAGGUGUGGAGUCAGCGUGGAGCUGGGAGGGGCUGCAGGGAUCAUGGACGCCAACGUCCUCUUUUGACAGAUGGGGAAACAGAAGCCCCUGAGACGCAGCCCCAGGCACAACCUCACCCACCACAGAGCCAGCUCUCAGAGCCACUGUCCAGUUGGCCCAAACUUGAGCCUUUUCUUCCUGCUCUGGGUGGAAAAACCGUUUGGAAGGGAAACAACUUGUCAGGGAGCUGGUGGUCUGGUUUACACAAUGCCAAAUGAUUCAGUUGCUGUUUUGUAGAAUAAUCUGGCUACUGAAUUAACAGGAGCCAAGGUGUGCCACUCAAGUCUCUGCCCUUGCAGUCCACUGGCCAGGAGAGCAGUUAGCCUCCAGCCCCCCUGUUAACACCUGCAGGAGCCUCCUGGGCUGAUGAUGUCACACUGGGCCUGAGCAGAACAGCCCGGGCAGUGAUUGGCUGCCAGGGCCUGGCUAUUUCUGCCCAGUGGAGGCCUCUUGUAACAGGGAGUCUUUGUUCUGGAGCUGCCCAUUGGGCUGGCCGAGAUUGUAUCAGACUCCUGUCCAUUCCUCCUUCCUCUCGCUUUUAUUGUUCACAGGCCUUAUCCCCCACCAUCCCCAGGAACCUCCUGCCCUUCUAAUUCCAGCUCGGUUUCAGCUUCCCAGAAGUCCCAAGUGACCCGGCCAAGGCCAGCAGUUUCGACCAUCCAUCCAAACCCCAGGCCCCUGUUCUCAGACUGUCUUGAUGGGCUCAGCUGCUGAACAGGUCAGGAUAUCAUCAAAGCACCCACAGGAGCCCAGCAGUGUCACGACAGGAUGAGGACAGAAUGAAGCCUGAUAAGACAUUAAGGAGAAGUCGGGAGAAGGGUCAUCCUGACUUAAGGCAGUGUGGGACAGCGGUUCAGAACAGCAGACUUAGGUUUGGGCCACUUCCAAGCUCUGUGAUCACAGCUGAAACACUUGGCCCCUCUGAGCCUCAGUUUCCUUGCCUGAAAAUUGGGAAUGACAGGGUCGCUCUCUGGGUUGCUUUGAGGAUGAAACAGAAUAAAGUAUGGCAGCAACUCUCA